UCAGAAACUACAAAGGAAGUUAGACGGGGCCCGGCACAAGCGGUGGAGUAUGUGGUUUAAUUCGAUGCAACGCGAAGAACCUUACCUGGUCUUGACAUCCCGGAGACCCUUAGGAAACUAGGGGGUGGCUUCCAUCUGGAAGAAUCUGGAGACAGGUGCUGCAUGGCUGUCGUCAGCUCGUGUCGUGAGAUGUUGGGUUAAGUCCCGCAACGAGCGCAACCCUUGCCUUUAGUUGCCAGCAGUUCGGCUGGGCACUCUAAAGGGACUGCCGGUGUUAAACCAGAGGAAGGUGGGGAUGACGUCAAGUCCUCAUGGCCUUUAUGACCAGGGCUACACACGUACUACAAUGGCCGAUACAAAGGGCAGCGACACUGCGAGGUGAAGCCAAUCCCGUAAAAUCGGUCUCAGUCCGGAUUGGAGUCUGCAACUCGACUCCAUGAAGUUGGAAUCGCUAGUAAUCGUGGAUCAGCAUGCCACGGUGAAUACGUUCCCGGGCCUU
rnacentral:rRNA from 1 species